GCUGUUGUGGGCGAGGGCAGCGGGGUGAGGAGAAGGGAGCCGGGCGCUCUCGAGGGAGAGCGCGGUCCUGGGGUUGGGGACCUGGGUUCUGCUCUGCAGCCUUCGCCUGUUGAUUUCUUUCCGGCCCGGUGUACGAAACCUCAUCCGCUCGGACCGGACCGGGACCCAGCACGCUGGCAGCCUUUAAGCUGGAGCUGGCGCCUGGAGCUGUGCUGUUCCUGACAGUCAGAUCUGCGGUGGCCCUCAGCUUCCUAGGGAGUUUUGGUCAAGUGCAGUAUGGGGGGAAUUCAGCAGUGGGUUUCCAGAUCCGUGCUCGCCUGAAGAUACAGGACCUUCCCACCUGUCAGAUUUAUAAAAUCGUCCCCUUAAGGAAAUCUGUCUUCAACGUCUGCUUAAAUACUUCUCUUGGAAUUGGAUUCCCGAAGAGGAAUAUACUGUACAAGUAGUGAUUAAAGUGUACUAAUUAGACAACGUUGCCUUAUUUUAAAGAACACCAAAUACAUACCGAUUCUUUUAUCCAACUAAUUGUCCCUGGGAAGAAAACAGGUGACAUUCCCAUUUUACAGAGCUAGAGGUGAGAGAAAUUACAUGACAUUCCCAAGGUCAUGUAGUGAAGCAGUGUAGAAAAUCCAGUGCAAGGUGCUAACUUUGCUGAAUACUCCCAUCUGCAGUACUUUCAGAACAGGAAACUUUGAGUGCCGUCUUCCAAUUUUUAAAAUUUACAUAAUUUAUUUCAUUUUGUAAACAAAGAUUAUUCUCAUCCUAAUAAUUUUUUCCUGUUUUAAAUUUUUCUGUAUUAUUGCAGUUAUUUCCAUUAGUUUAAAACUUACUAAAACUCAAGUUGUACUAAUUUUUAUUUUUACUUUUCUAGACCAAAACACAAAUUGGG
rnacentral:lncRNA from 1 species